rnacentral:rRNA from 1 species
GACGUAGGGCGCGAGCGUUGUCCGGAUUUAUUGGGCGUAAAGAGCUCGUAGGCGGCUCGUUGCGUCGGCUGUGAAAACCCGCAGCUCAACUGUGGGCUUGCAGCUGAUACGGGCGGGCUGGGAUUCGGUAGGGGAGACUGGAAUUCCUGGUGUAGCGGUGAAAUGCGCAGAUAUCAGGAGGAACACCGGUGGCGAAGGCGGGUCUCUGGGCCGAUGCUGACGCUGAGGAGCGAAAGCGUGGGGAGCGAACAGG